AUGGUGGAAUUAAAAGACGUUUUUUCGUUUUUAAAUUUUAGUCAUGACACUUUAAAAAAAGUGUAAUAUCAUGGAAUGAAGUCCUUGUAUUAUAGCUUGGAAUAUCCCUCCAGUAAUUGAAGAAUAGAAGAUAUCAUCUAUUACAUACCUAUUUGGCAAUCUUUAAGGAUUAGCAUCUUUCAUCUCAAUUUGGAAUAGUUGAAAUGAAGAGCAAUAUUUUAAAGUCAUCACGUUUUUUGAUGGGUGCCGACUCUCUAUCAUACAACAAUAGUUUCUUUGUUGUCAAAUGUCCUCAAUGAAACGAGGGAAUAAACCAAAAAAAAAGCAAGAGGAGACACGUCACUACGAGAACACACUAGACAACAGAUAGGUAGUCAUGUAAUUAAAAAUAUUGCUUGCCUCAACGAAAGUGUACCCUUAUAAUUUCACAUCUAUCAGUUAUAAUUACAUGCUGUCCUACCAAUUCUAUUUCAAUUUCAAACUUUGCUGAACCGAAUAAUUGACUCCUUCAGUUUCCGUCACUUUACCUAUUUUGAGCAGUUAAAAUCCACUUGUGACAAGAUAUUUUUUUCAUGUCAUCUUUUCAUCUCAUUUAUGGUCUUCCUACUAAUAUUUUUUAUCAUCUGCAAACAGGUGAGCGGUCAGCGUUUUUGUCUUCCCUGUUAUUAAUUUUGGAUUUCUCUAAAAAAGAAUUGAAAUAACUUUGAAAUUGGAUUUGAUGAUAAAAUUUUUUCGUGGAGAUAAUAAGACAGAUUGAUUAAAGGAAAAAGGAUAUAUUCAGUGAAAAUUGCUCUCAUAAGCGAUUGUCAAGGUUUCAGAGUUUCAAUUCCACCAAUAGGAUGCUAUCCAACUUAAUCCUGUCAGGCAAAUUUUAAAAACUGAAAGAAGGAAGCGGGGAAGUGACAUCGGUGGAGGCUCGUAGAAGAAGCUAAAAACUAUAAAAUUUGUAGUGCCGUUGGAAGUAAACAAAGCAGGCGCAACACAUGUCCGGCAAUCUUAAAAUCGUCACAGGACAUCGACAUUCAAAGAAGACUGAUAUGAACAUAAAAAUGAUAUCUAAAAAGAAAUUGUCCGCCUGUUGAGGUCGCUGUAUUGCACAGGGCGACGGCGGGGCAGCCAAAUGGUUCCCAAUAAUCGGGGGCAUAGCCGUCCUCCUCGGAAUCCUAGGCCUUAUCUACAAGUUCUUGCUAUCUGGCCGGCGCAAGA